CUCUAUGUAUGCACUACAGAUGCUGUUCAAUAUCUUUUCAUGAGGAAGUCUGCUCAAAAAGAUCGCCACAUUUUCUUUAGGGGAAGUUGACAUUAAUCUUUUAGGUUAAUAAUAACCUAUGCAUGCAGUACAGAUGCUGUUCAUCAUCUUUUCAUAAGCAAGCCUGCUCAAGAAGCUGCUGCAUGGAAGUCAGAAUAUGAAUUAUUGCCACCAGUCUUGA
rnacentral:sRNA from 1 species